GYGUGGGUUUGGAUUUAGGGGGGUUCCCCUGGACCACUCAUAGGGUCCCAUACAGGAGCAAACUGUGGCCCUGAACCUUUGCUGCUGGCCCUGAAGUGGGUCAUACAGUG
rnacentral:snoRNA from 1 species